rnacentral:rRNA from 1 species
GACAGAAUCCCCAAGCGUUACCCGGAUUUAUUGGGCGUAAAGGGUCCGUAGGUGGCGUGGUAAGUUGAAUGUUAAAGUUCAUCGGCUUAACCUUUGAAGUGCAUUCAAUACUGCCAUGCUUGAGGGCGUUAGGGGUUAGCGGAACCGACGGAGUAGGGGUGAAAUCCGUUGAUAUCGUCGGGAACACCAAAAGCGAAGGCAGCUAACUAGGAUGACCCUGACACUGAGGGACGAAAGCGUGGGGA